rnacentral:rRNA from 1 species
UACGUAGGGGGCUAGCGUUGUCCGGAUUUAUUGGGCGUAAAGAGCGUGUAGGCGGCCAGGCAGGUCUGCUGUGAAAACUCGAGGCUCAACCUCGAGACGUCGGCGGAAACCAUCUGGCUAGAGUCCGGAAGAGGAGAGUGGAAUUCCUGGUGUAGCGGUGAAAUGCGCAGAUAUCAGGAAGAACACCCGUGGCGAAGGCGGCUCUCUGGGACGGUACUGACGCUGAGACGCGAAAGCGUGGGGAGCGAACAGG